rnacentral:rRNA from 1 species
UACGUAGGUGACCAGCGUUGUCCGGAUUUACUGGGCGUAAAGAGCGCGCAGGCGGUCGUUCAAGUCGAGUGUGAAAGCCCCCGGCUCAACUGGGGAGGGUCACUUGAUACUGAUCGACUCGAAGGCAGGAGAGGGAAGCGGAAUUCCAGGUGUAGCGGUGAAAUGCGUAGAUAUCUGGAGGAAUACCGGUGGCGAAGGCGGCAUCCUGGACCGACAUUGACGCUGAGGAGCGAAAGCCAGGGGAGCAAACGGG